rnacentral:rRNA from 1 species
UACGUAGGGUGCGAGCGUUAAUCGGAAUUACUGGGCGUAAAGCGUGCGCAGGCGGUUCGCUGUGUCCUGUGUGAAAGCCCCGGGCUUAACCUGGGAAUGGCAUGGGAAACUGGCGGGCUGGAGUGUGGCAGAGGGGGGUGGAAUUCCGCGUGUAGCAGUGAAAUGCGUAGAGAUGCGGAGGAACACCGAUGGCGAAGGCAGCCCCCUGGGCUAACACUGACGCUCAGGCACGAAAAGCGUGGGGGAGCAA